AGGAUAGGUUCCAGUCCACAGCAGUCCUGCAAUGGAUGGAUGGACAGUUAUACAUGCAUCCCAUCCAGACUGCCACGAUCCUCACUUGGAUGAGCCGUUGUUGUGCGAAGAAAGAAGAAAUGAGAAAACAUUUCAGUCUGAAUGCUCGCUGUGUUCUUCAGAAAGGAGUGCGAAGCAAGGCAAGGGAUCACAAGCUGCAAGUCGAAAAGCCCAUCGCCGUGCCUCUUACCUGCCCUGACAGACGCACCCGACAUCUGUUGAUGUCCUCGGGCAUUCCAGCGAUCGUCAUUCCCUGACAAAUGGCGCCAUUAGUAUGCAG
rnacentral:lncRNA from 1 species